UUCUUCCGUUAGCUCGUAGUAGCGGAGCGAAAAUGGCGUAGAACGUAGGGUGUUCGGGAGAACGGGACAACAGGACCUUCUUCUCUCCUCGUUUGCGGUAACCGGGGAAAGAAGAGGGUCCAGAACUUUAUUUCUUCGCCGCUGCGGUUUCUCUCAGUAAGAUAAAUCAGACAGUCGUUCGUUUGGGAGUCCUAAAUGUGUCGCCGUAGCGGAAGAAACCCCCUCUCCUCCCCACGGCUUUUGUUUACCAUUGUGUGCAACUGCAGCUCAGACCACAGAGGAAAUAUCUCUGCAUCCUUUCGGUCCAACUCGCACCAAGGAAUAAACCGUCAUUUAAUGGAGUCAUGAAACCUCGGCAAGUGAUAUUGCUUUUCAAAUUAAACCCAGCACCACCAACAUGUCACAUCCGCCACCACCAAGACAUUUGGAGGUAAACGGCCACUAUCAAGAUGACCUCAUUUGGGCAUGUGGGACACCGGUGCCCUCCUUCCUGCUGGGACAUUAGCCACCUCUCCUCCAAAGCAUCCCACGGAUCAUCAGUGCACACCAUGUGCCAAAAUUUUGGGCGGUCGGACUUGCAUAAUGCACACUCUGCUUAUGUCUACAUGUAGCCUAGCAUUAUUUUGUCUGCCAUAAAGUCCUUUAGAAAUACGUGUGAGAUUCUCGUCAGGCUGCAUGUAAACAUAGUCUCUACUUCCCAAAUAGUAAGAAAGGAAAAACCUACUUUCACCACAGUUACACAAAACAGUUUGAUAAAGAACAAAGUACCUGCUCCCAAUUUUCUGGGAAACAUAGCAAAAGACACAAGAUACUGUAGCAAAGAUCAAGGCCUGUGAUUUUCAUUAGACUCAUUGGGUGUGUUAAUGUUUAGUUUUUUUGCUCUACCUCAUUGCCAUGGGAAGUCCAACAGGAUGGACGAGGAGAGUGGUGAAUUAGCUAAAAGGCUGUCAAGUGCCACAGAAAGUUGUAUAAUGUUGGAUGAUUAGUUUUGUUUCUGGGGGUCAAAAAGUGAGGUUGGGUGUAAAUGGGAGAAGACUGAGCAGCACACAAGCACACGAUGCACACUGUCACUCAUUUUGGGUACAAAAAAAAAACACUGAACCACUCAAACUGUGGUCUCCUAUGCAUCUGUUUUGCAUUGUAUUGUGCUCUCCUUUGUCAGGUUGGCAGGUGUUUCUUUACAUAUAGCACAUAGAGAUAAAAUUGGGAAGUUUUCCUUUUAAUGUUGAGUCCUUUAGAUAGAAAUCUGGCAACUUGUAUUAUUUCAAAUUUGUCUCCUGAAGCAUUCUGAUUCAGUUUUCCUUCGUCUGGUCUCUUUCACUUUAACAUGUUUUUAUUUAGUUUUUUCCCAUGUAAAUUGCUGGGAUUGUUUUUCCCUCCUGCAUGUAGGACGUGUAUAAUGGGACGUUCAGGUUGAGAUAGAUUUUCAGUUUUGGUUUCUUUUAAGGAAUUGUGAGAAGACACAAUUAGAUCAAAAGUAUCUGCUUUAUCAAAUAUGCUUUAUCUCACCCAAAAGAAACCUGGUCUCAUUUUUCUUUUUCUUUAUUUUUUUUAUUUUAACAGAAGUAUAAUGCAGUCACUUGAGGAAGAAAAUGCCAGUUUCCCCCUGAAUUACGCAGGUAAUUAUCUCAGAUUUCAGAGAAAUCCAUUUCAUUUACAAAAGAAAAUGCUUUUUUUAGGAUUAGUGAAAUUACUGAAAAUCCUAGAAGAAGCUUUACAUUUAAUUUAGCGAUCCACCUAAUGGAAUCAAACAAAGUCAUGCUUGUUUAUUUUAAUCUGUAGUUUUUUCUUUAGGUAGACAGCUCUUGGUCUGUCGAACAUUAUGGUGUUUCUUUAGGACUAGCCGUACAAAGAAAUUCUUCGCAACUCAGUUGAUGUAUGAUGCAUCUAAACUGCAUUCAGACACGUAUUUGAAAGCAUAAACAAGUAGCAAAGAGUGAGGCUGGUCAGAGCUUCUCAUGAUAAUGUAAUCUAACAAAAUGCAUAAUUGUUGCUCAAGUGAAUGCAUGCUGCUUCUGUACAUUUUCAGUUUCUUUUGUUCACUUUUGUGAUUUUUACAAAGGAGAAAAAUCACAUUUUACCGGGAUUUGUGCAAUAUUUGAUCCUAACUGUCAUGUUGUUGACCAAACUGUAUAUUGUAUAAACAAGUGACAAGUUGUUUGAAAGCAACAAAAUCACCAAUGUCUUCCAUUAAGAUAUGUAUAGACUCAUGUGCAUUAGCUUAUUUAGCGGGACUGUGGUGCCAACAUUAUAGUAGCCGUGCAUGACCAGUAGUGAUGCUUGCUUCAUGAGGAAUAGUGAAAUCGAUUUUUAGGCUAAGCUGGAGCGCCAAACUUUGGAAACCAUUUCAGUGAAGUUGAAGGGUGGUAGACUUCGGUACAUUUAAAUACACUGCAUAAAGACACAGCUUUACUCUAAACUCUACUGCAAAAUCUCAUUUUCAUCACAUGACUAGUUUGUGCAAUCGAAAUACAACUAAUCUAAGGCACAAUCAGGGUAAGUUAAGUAUUUAUCAAGUCAUUUACUAUAGCAUAUAUACUUAAAAUAAGUAACUUUUUUAUUUAUGCACUAUAAGGCAUUAAAAGAAUUAGUUAAUAUGCAAAAGCCAAAAAUCUCCCAAGUCUCACGUGUGACAGUGAUGAAGAAAUGUUCUAUUAGGAAUGAGUUUCAAUUUAAUCCUAGACUUGGAUCUGAUUGGUAAGGAUCCGACAUUGACUUUUAAUCCUAGAAUAAUGAUCUCACAGUGACAUCACAUUGUACAUAUUACCUCAUAGUUAUGGGAUUCAAAGCGUUAUAUUUUAAUCCAUAAAAUUGUAUUUGAUUAGAGUUUUAGCAGCAAUAACCUACAAUAAUGCAUGAGUUUAGUGCCCGGGUGAAAAUGUUUAAAGGUUUCUGUAGCAUCACGUGGAAAGGGUUAUCUCCACCCAUUUUUAUUUUAUUUGCUCACGCAGUCAAUUAGACACUUCUUUCUUUAGGGAGUUAGGGAUUUAUCACUGAAAGCUUAGGAUAUUUUCUGCAGAACAAAGUGUAUUCUAGAGCAGCUGUAGCAUCAUGUUAUUACAUUAGUACACGAGAGAUGCUUUAAACUUCAAUCGUAGCAUUUUUACAUCCAUUCAAAGCCCACUUGUUAUUUAGAAAUAAACAAUGAAGUAGAUCUGUGGCUGCAAAGGACUCACUGAGCGAACUUGACACUUGUUUGAAAAGCACUUUCUCUAUGUACUGACUUGCACCGUCAUCAUCUCCACCUUGUCUUGGAUACUCUGUUCUAACAACCCUGUAAUGCUCUUUCUUGGAAUUUGUAAUCAACAAUUUAUAAGCAAGUAGACAUCUAGCAACAUUAAUAUAUGGGUUUAAAAAAUAUGCAUGUCUUAGCAGAAUAAUGAAUGAUUUGUAUUGCAUGCAAUAAUCCAACUUUGUAAUGUGAACGAGUGUAAUUAGGAAAUUGAAAUGUUCAUUUUGGAUGUUCUGUGAGGACUUGUUUGACACAACGGCGAGCACGUUGAAAAAGCUUCAGCAGUUUUACAGACUACCUGCUAGUUUGUUACAGUAAAGAACAGAGUAGCUCUCCAUUGUGUCAAAUAUGACCUGACAGUGUAGCCACAGUGCAGCUGAAAAACAAAUCAACCUUUGUUCCCAUUAAAAAAGGAAAAAAAUGUAUCAAGAGCUUAGGUAAGAUUAACGACAUCACUUUGUUGAUCAACUUUUCCACACAGGACGUGGACUGUGUAGAAACUAUGCACUCCAGAGGGAGGAAAUGGGCAUGCUUGUUAUGUGUGAGCCUCUUGUCUGGUUUUGUAUUAACUUAAAAAAAAAAAAAAAGAAUCUGUAUCAGAAGUUCAGCAAUAAAAUGCAGCAUGGUGCCAAUUAAA